UACGUAGGGUGCGAGCGUUAAUCGGAAUUACUGGGCGUAAAGCGUGCGUAGGCGGUUCGUUAAGUCAGCUGCGAAAGCCCCGGGCUCAACCUGGGAACUGCGGUUGAAACUGGCGAACUAGAAUCUGGCAGAGGGGGGUGGAAUUCCACGUGUAGCAGUGAAAUGCGUAGAGAUGUGGAGGAACACCGAUGGCGAAGGCAGCCCCCUGGGCUGAGAUUGACGCUCAGGCACGAAAGCGUGGGGAGCAAACAGG
rnacentral:rRNA from 1 species